rnacentral:rRNA from 1 species
UACAGAGGGUGCAAGCGUCAAUCGGAGUUACUGGGCGUAAAGGGCGCGUAGGCGGUAGUAUGGGUGUGAUGUGAAAGCCCUGGGCUUAACCUAGGAAGUGCAUCGCAAACUAUAAUACUGGAGUACAAGAGAGGGUGGCGGAAUUUCCGGUGUAGCGGUGAAAUGCGUAGAGAUCGGAAGGAACGUCAAUGGCGAAGGCAGCCACCUGGCAUCAUACUGACGCUGAGGCGCGAAAGCGUGGGGAGCGAACAGG